rnacentral:rRNA from 1 species
AUGAACGCUGGCGGCGUGCCUAAUACAUGCACGUCGAGCGAACAGAUGAGGAGCUUGCUCCUCUGACGUUAGCGGCGGACGGGUGAGUAACACGUGGAUAACCUACCUAUAAGACUGGGAUAACUUCGGGAAACCGGAGCUAAUACCGGAUAAUAUAUUGAACCGCAUGGUUCAAUAGUGAAAGACGGUUUUGCUGUCACUUAUAGAUGGAUCCGCGCCGCAUUAGCUAGUUGGUAAGGUAACGGCUUACCAAGGCAACGAUGCGUAGCCGACCUGAGAGGGUGAUCGGCCACACUGGAACUGAGACACGGUCCAGACUCCUACGGGAGGCAGCAGUAGGGAAUCUUCCGCAAUGGGCGAAAGCCUGACGGAGCAACGCCGCGUGAGUGAUGAAGGUCUUCGGAUCGUAAAACUCUGUUAUUGGGGAAGAACAAAUGUGUAAGUAACUAUGCACGUCUUGACGGUACCUAAUCAGAAAGCCACGGCUAACUACGUG